GAAAGUCGGAGGUUCGAAGACGAUCAGAUACCGUCGUAGUUCCGACCGUAAACGAUGCCGACUGGC
rnacentral:rRNA from 1 species